rnacentral:lncRNA from 1 species
AUGGGUGCUGGCCAGAAGCUCCUGCUUUGCCACCCCAAGCCGCUCUUCUACCUGGAGAUAUACGGACCGUCAAGUACACCCUCCGUCACAGAAUAAUCGUCCAGGAAAAAUACAGUUCAAAAGUGUACAAUUAAUGUCGUUUUUAGUUAGCUAAAUGACGAUUUUACCUUUUUGAAGUACACAAGUAAAAGAAUAUGCAAUUAAUGACGUUUUUUUGGUAACCUUGUACCGGGAACUCACAGAACCCCACCAAUACCCUGCUAAUCAAUGAGAUCAUGUAAAACUCAACUUGCGUUGCGCAGGUGACCUUCAAAGGGGUUAAAGGCACAUAACCAGCGAAAGCUGGAUUUGAACCUCAUAC